CUAUCCUUGUUGUGGUCCAACCGUGAGUUUUCCACCCAACAUUGACUUUUCCAGCCAAUUUGGGCCAUUUUUACCUCUAAAUCCAUCCCAUUGACCAAAACAUUGCCUUUAGAUGCAACGGUGAAAUUUUAUCCCAAAAUUCAUCCCCAGUGAGGUCAAACCUUGACUUCUCCACCAAAUUUGACCAUUUUCACCCCCAAAAUCCACCCCCAUUCACCAAAAAUCCCCUUUUGACCCAACAGCACCAUUUUUACCCCAAAAUCCCUCCCCUUUUGACCUCCAACCUUGACCUCUGACAAUUCCCCUCCCACCAGACCGCCCAACCCAACCCAACCUGACGGUGACACCCUCGGGCCUCACGGUGCAAGGGCAGCCCCUCCUCUUCCUCUGCAUGGCCCCACCCAGCAAAGCCCCUCGGCGCCACUUCCGCUUCCUCCGGGAUGAGCUUGAGGUCUCCGAGGGCAUCGUGGAAGGUUCUGGAAGCGCCCGGCUGAGGGUGGAGAGGAGCAGCCAGAACCAGACCGGGAACUUCAGCUGCAGCUAUGAGGAGAUGACCGAGGGGCGCUGGAUUGCCUCCUACCCCAGCGAGGCCGUGGCAGUGGUGGUGGAAGACCCGUGUCCGCCCCCCGUGCUUUGGGUGGAGCCUCCGUCUGGCGUGGUCACCGUGGGUCAGCGGCUGCGCCUGACCUGUUCUGCGAGCCGACGUCACUUCCGGCGCCGCUUCCGCUUCUUCCGCGAUGGCAUCGAGCUGACUCCGGGUGACCUCAUCGAUGGCGUCAUCAGUGACGUCACUGGUGAUGGGUCCCAGCUGGUGUUCCCGCGGAUUUCCCCCGAAUUUUCCGGGAAUUUCAGCUGCCUGCUGGAGGAGGAGGUGGGCGGGGCCUGGGUGGAGGCUCCGCCCAGUGAAGGCGUGGCCGUGGUGGUCAUGGGUGGUUUCUCGUCCCCAGCUGAGUUCGAGUUCCCCCCAUUGGUCAUCGGCGGAGUGGUGGGAGUAGCCUUGACGCUUCUGGUGAUCCUAUUGGCUGCUUGGCUAGGCCGGAGGAGGAGGAGUCAGUGGGGGGGAGAGGAGGAUUUGGACCCCAAAAUGUCCCCAGAUCGCCUAUUUUAAUGCCAAAAUUUCCCUUGUCAGGCCAAAAAGGGAACAUUUCACCCCAAAUUUCUCCAUUUUAGUCCCAAAUUUGGCCAUUUUGACCACAAAUUCCUCACUUGUAUCCCAAAAUUACCCCAGAUUUCCCCAUUUUAGUCCAAAAAAGACCUUUUUGUCCCCAAAGAGGUAAUUCUGACUCAAAGUCCCACAUUUUACUACAAAAGUGACUCUUUUGUCCCAAAAAU
rnacentral:lncRNA from 1 species